rnacentral:rRNA from 1 species
UACAGAGGUCCCGAGCGUUGUUCGGAUUCAUUGGGCGUAAAGAGCUCGUAGGCGGCUUGUUACGUCGGCUGUGAAAACCCGCGGCUCAACCGCGGGCCUGCAGCCGAUACGGGCAGGCUAGAGUUCGGUAGGGGAGACUGGAAUUCCUGGUGUAGCGGUGAAAUGCGCAGAUAUCAGGAGGAACACCAAUGGCGAAGGCAGCUCGCUGGAACGCAACUGACGCUGAGACGCGAAAGCGUGGGGAGCAAACAGG